rnacentral:rRNA from 1 species
UACAGAGGUGGCAAGCGUUGUUCGGAAUUACUGGGCGUAAAGGGCGCGUAGGUGGCCAUCUAAGUCAGACGUGAAAUCCCCCGGCUUAACCUGGGAACUGCGUCUGAUACUGGACGGCUUGAGUAUGGGAGAGGGAUGUAGAAUUCCAGGUGUAGCGGUGAAAUGCGUAGAUAUCUGGAGGAAUACCGGUGGCGAAGGCGGCAUCCUGGACCAUUACUGACGCUGAGGCGCGAAAGCUAGGGGAGCAAACGGG